AAUCGUAUUCGAGUUGCUCCGUAGUUUUUGUGAUUAUUAUCGUCAAAAAGUUUCGCGGGUGGAAAAUUAUCGCUAAUAUUUUUCGCGAAACAGUGAACGUCAAUCGUAUCGAGUUCAGUAUUGCGUACAGACGGUAUUAUUUCGAUAUCGGCAAUUUGUUUCUGUGGUUAGUAGCACCGUUCAAAAUUUCCUUUGUUACUUCGGCUCGUUUUCUCCGAAAACCAUGGCAAGUGCAGCGAUUGCGUGAUUAUUGCCAGUAGUUCUUGCGAAGUUCGCCAUUUUACUUCCGGUACAGCAAAUCAUAAAAUUUUAUUUGAAUUGUUCAUGUUUUUUCGUGCUUAUUAUCGGUUAAAAGUGGAUUCCGCGCGCGAGAGAUUAUCGAAAGUGUUUUUUAAAUCGUUUGUCGUAAAAUGUAAGUAUCGUGCAAUCGUUAUCGUGAUUGUCGUGAUCGGCGAUCUACUUUCGUUCGGAAUCGAUAGAAAUCUUGUUUGUAUAUUUCACGCCGAGGUAAAACGAAAACCUAGAAGUAGAUUUCGCACGCGAAAAAUUAUCGAAAGUGUUUCGUGAAAUGCUCGCAAUGGGAAAUCAUCGGAUUUGGUAUCGACGAGCUACUUUUACCUGGAAUCAUCGACUUCUCUUCGCAUAUUUUUCAACGAAAUGCAGCAAACAUGAAAUGUGCCAGAAUUAUUGUCAGGUAGCAGAAUAGCGUCGUCACGGAACCAGGAGGUUACAGUGAGGUGUUCCUUAACAUCUUCCCGGGCUGUACAGGACAACACCGC